GAUCGUGGGCUCGUGAUGGCAGAAUUGGGUAUACAAAAUAGGCCACUGUUAGACCCAGUAAGCCAUAUUAAAGCUGCGAUGGGAAAUAACGAUAACAUUAAGGGUGAUGGGCCUGUUUUAACGGAUCAAGAAAUUAGGGGCUUGGAACUAUCUUUUAAUUCGGACAGUGUCGAUACAGUGCAUGGAGUCUUCCAAAUAACAACGCAUCUUCGACUGAUUUUAAUUAAAGGAAGGUUAAUUCCAUUCGGGCAUUACUGCUCAAAUUAAUCCUAUUUUUGAGGGUCCUGUGGAAUCAGUAGUAGAAAUUAAUAAGGAACUACUUGAUUCUAGUAACCACUCUGCGAUUACUUUUAAGGAAAAAAAUAGACUAAAUAUUGCUAAAUAUACUGAAGCUGGUAUUUCGGUUGGAAGAGAGGAAUACCGAUUUCGAAAGUGAGGGGUUCAGGAACUAAUAAGGGUAAUGUUCGAAAUAAUGGUGCUAUUAGUAAGAUCAUUCGUGAACACGGGGGACAUUUUAAAAAUUUUGGGAGUGCAAGGGUUCCACUAUCAGACUCUAUGAAUUCGAUGGCCAAACUCCUCAACUCGCAGAUUAACAGGGCUGAGAUGGGGAACUUGAACAUUUAUGGGAAACGCAGGGAAGACACAUGCUAGUCAUGAGCUACAGACCAAUUUCUUUAGCCUUGUUAUAGUGAUCUUUCGCCAAUACAGAAGGAAAAUAGAGAAGCAAGAAAAGAGUGCCUCAACCAAAGGUUCAAUUGGUGCUCCUACAGCUUCACCUUCACCUUCCCAUGCUCAACGAUGUUCCUUCAUGUAAUGAUCCAAAAUGCACGGACAUCGAAAAAGUAUAUUAUCGGGCCUCCGUCUCAGUAAAUCGAACCUGUAAAUAAUUAUUAGAAAUACCUAUGAGUCUAGUAGUGUGUUAAUUAAGUUUUAACUGAGUAAAUUUAGCUUAAUUGAGAAAAAUUAAAAAAAAAAAGAAAAAAAGACUAAAA